rnacentral:lncRNA from 1 species
CCUAGUCAACUCUUGAGUCAGUUUGAUCAACCACUCUCAGUAGACCUAAUUGAGUUAUCCACACCCUUGACCCAUGAUUUAUGAAAUUGUAUCAGAUCUGAAUUUCCAAUUAGAUCUUUUAAUUUCAUCUUUAAUUCCUAAUUAAGUUCAUAGGUCUAAUUUAGAUGUCAAAAUAUUUUUGAAUCCAAAAGAAUUAAGUUUUGUAUCUCAUACAAAAUCUGCUC